UGGGGAAUCUUGGACAAUGGGCGCAAGCCUGAUCCAGCAAUGCCGCGUGGGUGAAGAAGGCCUUCGGGUUGUAAAGCCCUUUUGUCAGGGAGCAAAUCCCUGCCGCUAAUACCGGCCGGGGAUGAGAGUACCUGAAGAAUAAGGACCGGCUAACUACGUGCCAGCAGCCGCGGUAAUACGUAGGGUCCAAGCGUUAAUCGGAAUUACUGGGCGUAAAGCGUGCGCAGGUGGCUUGUUAAGAGCGAUGUGAAAUCCCCGGGCUCAACCUGGGAACUGCAUUGCUGACUGGCUCGCUAGAGUAUGGGAGAGGGGGGUGGAAUUCCGCGUGUAGCAGUGAAAUGCGUAGAGAUGCGGAGGAACACCGAUGGCGAAGGCAACCCCCUGGCCCUAAUACUGACACUCAUGCACGAAAGCGUGGGGGAGCGAAACAGGAUUAGAUACCCUGGUAGUCCACGCCCUAAACGAUGUCUACUAGUUGUUGGGGAUUUCGAUCC
rnacentral:rRNA from 1 species